rnacentral:rRNA from 1 species
AGAACGAACGCUGGCGGCAGGCUUAACACAUGCAAGUCGAACGCCCCUUUCGGGGGGAGUGGCAGACGGGUGAGUAACGCGUGGGAACGUACCCUUUGGUUCGGGAUAACCCAGGGAAACUUGGGCUAAUACCGGAUAAGCCGGAAACGGGAAAGGUUUACUGCCGAAGGAUCGGCCCGCGUCGGAUUAGCUAGUUGGUGUGGUAACGGCGCACCAAGGCGACGAUCCGUAGCUGGUCUGAGAGGAUGAUCAGCCACACUGGGACUGAGACACGGCCCAGACUCCUACGGGAGGCAGCAGUGGGGAAUAUUGGACAAUGGGCGCAAGCCUGAUCCAGCCAUGCCGCGUGAGUGAAGAAGGCCCUAGGGUUGUAAAGCUCUUUCAGCGGGGACGAUAAUGACGGUACCCGCAGAAGAAGCCCCGGCUAACUUCGUGCCAGCAGCCGC